rnacentral:sRNA from 1 species
CUUCCCGAGGGCGGCACGAGGGCUGGGUGGUGGGGUCCGGGUGCCCGGGUGAGGGGCGGAGCUGGGGGCAUGGCGUCCGGAGCGGCUCGCUGGCUACUAUUGGCCAGAGUCAGGUCCGGGGCUCUCCGGAGCGGGCCUAGCUUGAGGAAAGAUGGCGAUGUCGCCGCCGCAUGGAGCGGCUCAGGCCGGAGCCUGGUACCGUCGAGGUCAGUCAUCGUUACCCGCAGCGGCGCCAUUUUGCCCAAACCGGUGAAAAUGUCCUUCGGCCUUCUCCGUGUGUUCUCCAUUGUGAUCCCCUUUCUCUAUGUCGGGACACUCAUUAGCAAGAACUUUGCUGCUCUACUUGAGGAACAUGACAUUUUUGUUCCAGAGGAUGAUGAUGAUGAUGACUAACAGGUAAGACUUGCUUUACCCUAGAUGGACCAGGAAGCAGGGUGGAGCAUCUGUCUGUGAUGCAGUCUGGCCUGGUAGCAGCAUUUGGACACUGGGGGCAGAAGCAUUAAUGAAUUGGCCCACUUGGUGGCUAAUGUUUUCGUUUGUUUGUUUGUUUUUUGAGACGG